rnacentral:rRNA from 1 species
ACUCCUACGGGAGGCAGCAGUAGGGAAUAUUGCGCAAUGGACGAAAGUCUGACGCAGCGACGCCGCGUGGAGGAUGAAGGUUUUCGGUAUCGUAAACUCCUGUCAGAGGGAAGAAACCUAUUAUGAAUAAUACUCAUAGUAAUUGACGGUACCUCCUAGAGGAAGCACCGGCUAAUUCAGUGCCAGCAGCCGCGGGUAAUACUGAAGGUGCAAGCGUUAAUCGGAAUCACUGGGGCGUAAAGCGCUCGUAGGUGGCUUUGUAAGUCAGGUGUGAAAGCCCACGGCUCAACCGUGGAAUUGCACUUGAUACUGCAUCGCUAGAGUAUAGGAGAGGGAAGUGGAAUUUCUGGUGUAGGAGUGAAAUCCGUAGAGAUCAGAAGGAACACCCGUGGCGAAGGCGACUUCCUGGACUAUUACUGACACUGAGGAGCGAAAGCGU